rnacentral:rRNA from 1 species
UGACAAAGUUUAACGGCCGCGGUACCCUAACCGUGCGAAGGUAGCAUAAUCACUUGUUCUUUAAAUAGGGACUAGUAUCAACGGCAUCACGAGGGUUACACUGUCUCCUUUCCCCAAUCAGUGAAACUGAUCUCCCCGUGAAGAAGCGGGGAUAUAAAUAUAAGACGAGAAGACCCCAUGGAGCUUUAAGCUCAACAACACCUCGCUACAAAUAUGUCAUUGUAACCCACGAGCCCUGUCUGUUAGCUUUAGGUUGGGGUGACCGCGGAGUAUAAUAUAACCUCCACGACGAAUAGGCCUAAGACCUUUAUCCAAGAGCCACUGCUCUAAGAAUCAUUAAAUUGACGUAAAAUGAUCCGAUUUUCGAUCAACGAACCAAGUUACCCUGGGGAUAACAGCGCAAUCCAUUUCAAGAGCCCCUAU